UACAGAGGUCCCAAGCGUUGUUCGGAUUCAUUGGGCGUAAAGGGUGCGUAGGCGGUCGCCUAAGUCAGGUGUGAAAUCUCGAGGCUCAACCUCGAAACUGCACUUGAUACUGGGUGACUUGAGUACUGGAGGGGAGACUGGAAUUUACGGUGUAGCAGUGAAAUGCGUAGAUAUCGUAAGGAAGACCAGUGGCGAAGGCGAGUCUCUGGACAGUUACUGACGCUGAGGCACGAAGGCUAGGGGAGCAAACGGG
rnacentral:rRNA from 1 species